CUUCUUCUUCUUCUCCUCCUCCUCCUCCUCUUCUUCUCCUCUUCUUCCUCCUCCUCUUCUUCUUCUUCUUCUUCUUCUUCUUCCUCUUAUUUCUAUUUUGAUUUUUAUUUAUUCUCUUCUUCUACUUAUUCUUCUUUUCUUCUUUUUUAUCUUCUUCUCCUUAUUUUUUCUUUUUCUCUUCUUAUCUUAAGCCUUAUUAUGUCAUUUAGGAGAGAACUUAGCUAAGUAU
rnacentral:lncRNA from 1 species